UUAUCUCUGUAGAGUCUGCAUAUCAAUAAGCGGAGGAAAAGAAACUAACUAGGAUUCCCUCAGUAACGGCGAGUGAAGCGGGAAGAGCUCAAAUUUGAAAUCUUCAAGGUUUUACCUUGACGAAUUGUAGUUUAAAGAAGUGUUUUCUGUUGAGGUUUUGGUAAAAGUUCUUUGGAAUAGGACAUCAUAGAGGGUGAGAAUCCCGUAUUUGACCAUUAUUUCCAGCUUUGUGAUACACUUUCAAAGAGUCGGAUUGUUUGGGAAUGCAGCCCAAAAUGGGUGGUAAAUUUCAUCUAAAGCUAAAUACUGGCGAGAGACCGAUAGCGAACAAGUACCGUGAGGGAAAGAUGAAAAGAACUUUGAAAAGAGAGUUAAACGGUACGUGAAAUUGUCAAAAGGGAAGCGUUUGACACCAGUGUUGUUUUCUCGAAAAUCAAUUAAAAAGAAUCGGAUUUUGUGUUGUUAAGACCUUAUCAGCUUUCUGCACUCUUUUCUUAUUCUUUUUAAUGCACUUUUCGUUUAACAAGUCAACAUCAAUUUCUUUUGUUGUAAAAGAGUCAUUGGAAGGUGGCUUCCACUUCGGUGAAAGUGUUUAUAGCCUUUGGCUUCUGCAAUCGGAGAGAUUGAGGUCUGCAGCGUAGAUCCUCCGGGGCUAGAUACGUAGAUGCUAAGUUAUAGUUUUUUAUAGACAACUUGUUGACUAUAAUUAAUCAUGUAGCUUACUCGUUUGCGCUAUUUUACCUACGCUUAGGAUGUUGACGAUCAGCUGAGCGCG
rnacentral:rRNA from 1 species